GAAGUACUCCCUCCGUUCCAAAUUACUCGUCCCAGAAAUGAAUGUAUCUAAAACUAAAAUACAUCUAGAUACAUCCAUUUCUGCAACGAGUAAUUCGGAAUGGAGGGAGUACAAU
rfam:Triticum aestivum genome assembly, contig: Triticum_aestivum_CS42_TGACv1_scaffold_570698_7AS